rnacentral:lncRNA from 1 species
CCCGAAUUUUCUUGAUUUUUCCUAGCGUUUGCCCGAAUUUCCAUGGUUUUCUACAAUUUUGGGGGGCAGUUGCCCCCCCCCCCCACCCCCCCUCCCCAUCCCCUGUCUUGUACGCCUAUGUCAAUAAGGCAUUUACAACAUGUACAUAAUACGAAGCCAAAGUGAAAGUGUGAAAGUGAAAGAAACUUUAAAGAAAGCGUGCUAAUUCUCGAAUUUUACUCGUAUGUACUCGUAUUUUACUCGUAUUUUACUCGUAUGUACUCGUAUGUACUCGUAUGUACUCAUAUGUACUCGUAUGUACUCGUAUUUACUCGUAUGUUACUCGUAUGUUACUCGUGGGCUAUCUUUAAAAUAGGGAACGGGAAUGCGGGAAUAUGGGAAUAUGGGAAUACGGGAAUGCGGGAAUAUGGGAAUACGGGAAUGCGGG